GUUUGAUUCUGGCUCAGGACGAACGCUGGCGGCGCGCUUAACACAUGCAAGUCGAGCGAGAACCAGGCCUUAGGGCCUGGGGAAAGCGGCGAACGGGUGAGUAACACGUGGGUAAUCUGCCCUCGGCACUGGGAUAGCCCGGGGAAACCCGGAUUAAUACCGGAUGGCCUCUCGAGCUCUCGGGCUCGUGAGAAAAGGUAGCUUCGGCCUCCGGCCGAGGAGGAGCCCGCGGCGGAUUAGCUUGUUGGUGAGGUAAAGGCUCACCAAGGCGACGAUCCGUAGCUGGUGUGAGAGCAUGACCAGCCACACUGGGACUGAGACACGGCCCAGACUCCUACGGGAGGCAGCAGUGGGGAAUCUUGCGCAAUGGGCGAAAGCCUGACGCAGCGACGCCGCGUGCGGGAAGAAGGCCUUCGGGUUGUAAACCGCUUUCAGGAGGGACGAAGCCACUCGGGUGAAUAGCCCAGAGGGUGACGGUACCUCCAGAAGAAGCCCCGGCUAACUACGUGCCAGCAGCCGCGGUAAUACGUAGGGGGCUAGCGUUGUCCGGAUUUAUUGGGCGUAAAGCGCGUGUAGGCGGCUUGAUAGGUCUGCUGUGAAAACUCGGGGCUCAACCCCGAGAGGUCGGUGGAAACCAUCUGGCUAGAGUCCGGAAGAGGAGAGUGGAAUUCCCGGUGUAGCGGUGAAAUGCGCAAAUAUCGGGAAGAACACCCGUGGCGAAGGCGGCUCUCUGGGACGGUACUGACGCUGAGACGCCAAAGCGUGGGGAGCGAACAGGAUUAGAUACCCUGGUAGUCCACGCCGUAAACGAUGGGUGCCAGGUGUGGGUGGUGUCCACUCCAUCCGUGCCCAACCUAACGCAUUAAGCACCCCGGCCCGGGGAGUACGGCCGCAUGGCUGAAACUCAAAGAAAUUGACGGGGGCCCGCACAAGCAGCGGAGCAUGUGGUUUAAUUCGACGCGACGCGAAGAACCUUACCAGGGCUUGACAUGCACUGGAAUGUCGUAGAAAUACGGCAGCCCUUCGGGGCCAGUGCACAGGUGGUGCAUGGCUGUCGUCAGCUCGUGUCGUGAGAUGUUGGGUUAAGUCCCGCAACGAGCGCAACCCCUGUCCCAUGUUGCCAGCGUGAAAGACGGGGACUCAUGGGAGACUGCCGGUGACAAAUCGGAGGAAGGUGGGGAUGACGUCAAGUCAUCAUGCCCCUUACGUCCUGGGCUACACACGUGCUACAUUGGCCGGUACAAAGGGCUGCAAACCCGUGAGGGGGAGCGAAUCCCAAAAAACCGGUCCCGGUUCGGAUUGAAGGCUGAAACUCGCCUUCAUGAAGGCGGAGUUGCUAGUAAUCGCGGAUCAGCAAUGCCGCGGUGAAUACGUUCCCGGGCCUUGUACACACCGCCCGUCACGUCAUGGGAGUCGGCAACACCCGAAGCCGGUGGCCUAACCCGCAAGGGAGGGAGCCGUCGAAGGUGGGGUCGGUGACUGGGACGAAGUCGUAACAAGGUAGCC
rnacentral:rRNA from 1 species